GUCUCGGUCAUGUAAGGGAUAAAGCACAGUGCUUGGAAAGCACAUGUACGGGUUCGAGUCUCGUCCGAGAUC
rnacentral:tRNA from 1 species